rnacentral:rRNA from 1 species
ACUGGUGUCAGCCGCCGCGGUAAUACCAGCUCUCCGAGUGGUAGGGAUGAUUAUUGGGCUUAAAGCGUUCGUAGCCGGCCUGGCAAGUCUCUCGUUAAAUCCAGCGACCCAAUCGCUGGGCUGCGGGAGAUACUGUUGGGCUUGGGAGCGGAAGAGGCCGACGGUAUUCUCGGGGUAGGGGUGAAAUCCUGUAAUCCCGGGAGGACCACCAGUGGCGAAGGCUGUCGGCUAGAACGUGUCCGACGGUCAGGGACGAAAGCUGGGGGAGCGAACCGGAUUAGAUACCCGGGUAGUCCCAGCUGUAAACUAUGCGGGCUAGGUGUCGGUGUGGCUACGAGCCACUCCGGUGCCGCAGGGAAACUCAUAA